UCCAGUCAAGACGCUUGAAUGAGUGGUGUAGGCAAAUGAGAAAAAGAUGAAGACACGCGUUACAUUUAUGUUAAGAAAAAUACAACCCRAAUGGGUUGGCUAUGCUUGUUAUAAGGACGGCGAGUGUGGCUGAGGUUGCCCAAGUCACCAGAAAUUUGCAAGGAAAGUGGACGGGCGUCUGAAGUAGUCUAUCAUUUGAUGGUUUUGCUGCUCGAAGGCAUGGGCCAUUGAAUUUGUCUACUUGCUGCCAUUGUGGCAAGUCAGGCCACAAGGUGUUUGAGGGUGUCACCAUCUUUGGAACAAAUACUGCGGACACCAGGAUUACUUGUAUACGUUGACAGGACUUGGAGGAUCUUGAAAUAGAUGGGAGAUUCAAGGGCUUCAGUUGUGACAUGAAAUGCUUAGCGUAAGCAUUAAGUUGAUUGGAAGACUUUGCUGUAUGACCAAUUUGUCUUGGCUUUGAUUCCCCGAAACUGGCAAGACGACAACCAAGGAAUUUCAUUGGCGAUAUGUGUCGUUGGACACCCUCCUACCAAAGGAGAAGGCUUUUUGACAACAGCUGAUGUAGAAAAGAUAUAUAAUUGAAAGUCAAUUGUCACUUAUCAUGCAAUUUGUGCUUUCAGCAUUUGAAUAAAAAAAUGGAAUUGUCA